rnacentral:tmRNA from 1 species
AGUAGCGCCUGCAGGCCAGGAGACAUUGGCUUUCCAACUAUCACAUAUCGCCCCAACAUGGCUGAUGCACCUAUAUACGUGGGAGGAUAUGUGGACAUAAAGAAAUAUCCAACCCUUGAAAAGGAACUGGUGCUAGAUCAUGACAGGCUCCUGCAGGCCGUGCCCUCCUUCAAACCUGUACCCAUCAACGUGGAGCACCUGGCAGAUGCUGAGGUGGGCUGGGUUCAGACUAUUUAUCCCGCCAGCCACGGCCUCUUUUGUAUGGGGGAGGUAACAAACAAACAGUUUCUGCACCUCGUGACUCAGAUGGCGGAAGAGUCUGCUGCCUCUCACAUCACACUUACCAAGCAGCUCCCUCGCGAGCCAACGCUGCAGAUGUUGCACACAUGGCUUCCAGAGCUCUCACUGUCCUCCAUCUCACCACACUUGAUGAACUCUACCCCAGACACUGAAAUAUUUCACCACGUGGCCUUGUGCGCCCUCGGCAAACGCCGGGGGGUGGUGGCAGUCUAUGGUCACUCUUUAGAUUGGGUAAUCUCCAAGUUUGAAUCCCUCAAACCAGGGGAAAUUUCUGCAAUCAAAGAAUGUGUUGAAAGUGUGUCCAAAAGGCAUGGUCCCAAUGGUCAGAGACCCCUGAAUUUCUCAAUCAGCAUGGACAGUCUUUUGGCCAAGGCCAUAGACGCCAGCUUCAUCAAAAACAGACUUGAUCUGCUCAAAUCAGACAGGCAAGUUGCUGCAGUGAAACAAUCAGCAUAUUUAAAGGCUAGUCACGUACCACAGGCAGACCCCGACCCCAUUUCCCAACCUACUCAGUCCGCCAUCAUGACAACUGUGACAGCUGGAAUGGAGGAAAAUAACUUGAUCAGUGUGCCCAAGGCUACUUUGAUCUCUCUCCUAACCAAGGCAGAGUCCUCCCAACGGCCCCAGGGCGGCCAGGCGUCAGUCCCUCAGAUCCUGCAGCCUUUCCAGACUCCCAGCUCCGCUAUCACCAAUCACGCAGCAUUCUCGACCCCAGGGGCUGGCCUGAGCUACCCACACGCGGGUCAGUGGCCUAUCAUGCCCCCUUGGAGCCCCUAUUGUCCACCAGCUUACCCUCUUCAGGCUUCAGAGGGUGCUCCUCAAAGUGGGCCAUAUUGGCCACCAAUGUACUCCUACGGCCAUCGAGAUGAAGCGAGGGCAGGAAAAAGGAAAAGGGAAUGUGAGGAGGAGGACCAAGUCUCAUUUCCAGGGGAAACCAGCAAGAGAGGCCUCUACAGUGAGCUCUUGUCCAUGGCUGGCAGCAUUGCCUCUCUGAAGAGCGAACUACAGAGUUUGAAACAGUCUCUGCCAGCUUGCGCCCCGCCAUCCACUCCAGCCUCAGCAUAUUAUCCCGAAGCCGGAAGCCUGCUACAAUAUCCGGGUCGUCAUAUCAACCCUCAACAGUGCUACAUGUCGCACCCUUCCCCUGCACCCCUUCCAGCUGCGAGUCCCGCCGGGGCGGCCGCCGCGCCUCCACCCACGGUGGUAGAAAGUGUCCCUCGACCACCAGAAACAGUUCCAACGGUCCCUGUAGCCCAAAGUGUGGAGCGGGAACCAGAUGCUCUGGUGACUACCAAAAAGACAGUUCCUGCCAAAAGAGUAGAUGCCAGCAAACUGGCCAACCACGAGAAGAGCAAAGUACAGCAGCUCUUUUGCGAAGAGCUCUCCAAAUAACACGAGGGGUAUUAUUGUAAAAGGGUUGCGUGUGUCAAUAAAAUGUUUGUGCUUGGUGCAAC